rnacentral:rRNA from 1 species
UACGAGGGGGGCGAGCGUUGUUCGGAAUUAUUGGGCGUAAAGGGUGCGUAGGCGGCCUGACAAGUCUGAUGUGAAAUCCCUGGGCUCAACCCAGGGCCUGCAUCGGAAACUGUCGGGCUUGAGUAUGGGAGAGGUGAGUGGAAUUUCCGGUGUAGCGGUGAAAUGCGUAGAUAUCGGAAGGAACACCUGUGGCGAAAGCGGCUCACUGGACCAUUACUGACGCUGAGGCACGAAAGCUAGGGGAGCAAACAGGAGUUAGAAACC